rnacentral:rRNA from 1 species
UACGUAGGGUGCAAGCGUUGUCCGGAAUCAUUGGGCGUAAAGCGCGCGUGAGGUGGUCAUGUAAGUCCGCUGUGAAAGUCAAAGGCUCAACCUUUGAAAGCCGGUGGAUACUGCAUGACUAGAGUACGGAAGAGGCGAGUGGAAUUCCUGGUGUAGCGGUGGAAUGCGCAGAUAUCAGGAGGAACACCAAUAGCGAAGGCAGCUCGUGGGACGUUACUGACACUGGAGGCGCGAAAGCGUCGGGGAGCGAACAGG